GGAAAGAUGAAAAGAACUUUGAAAAGAGAGUUAAAUAGUACGUGAAAUUGUUGAAAGGGAAACGAUUGAAGUCAGUCAUGCCAGUGGGAAUCAACUUAGAGGAAACUCUAGGUGCACUUCUUCGCUUGGCAGGUUAGUGUCGAUUUUGGAUGCCAUAAAAUGACUGGGGGAAGGUAGCUCCUUUGGGAGUGUUAUAGCCCUUGGUAGAUGUGAUGUCUGGAAUCGAGGAUUGCAACGGAUACCCUUUAGGGCUAGUCACCUGAUCUCUAAUUAGUGCUAGAUUACGGACAGCAUGCUGACCGUGAUUUAAUUAUUGGUUAAAAGGUUAGAGUGCACAUAAAUUCGUUAAGGACACUGACGUAAUGGCUUUAAACGACCGUCUUGAAACACGGACCA
rnacentral:rRNA from 1 species